CAAACCGUGCUGGAGAAGCAGGGCACGUGCUCGACGGCGGGGCUGGCUGGCCGGCCGGCUUGCAGCAUGUGCGCUCCUUCUCCAGCAUGGCUUC
rnacentral:pre_miRNA from 13 species